UUGGAGGGCAAGUCUGGUGCCAGCAGCCGCGGUAAUUCCAGCUCCAAUAGCGUAUAUUAAGGUUGUUGCAGUUAAAAAGCUCGUAGUUGAAUUUCGGGAUCAAUACGUCGGUCGUGCUUUUUUGGUACGCACUGGCGUCAUUGGUUUCUCCUUUCUGACGAACCAUGAUGUCAUUAAUUUGGUGUUAUGGGGAGUUAGGACUGUUACUUUGAAAAAAUUAGAGUGUUUAAAGCAGGCAUUAGCUUGAAUACAUUAGCAUGGAAUAAUGAAAUAGGACGUUCGAUCCUAUUUUGUUGGUUUCUAGGAUCAACGUAAUGAUUAAUAGGGAUAGUUGGGGGCAUUAGUAUUCAAUUGUCAGAGGUGAAAUUCUUGGAUUUAUUGAAGACUAACUACUGCGAAAGCAUUUGCCAAGGAUGUUUUCAUUAAUCAAGAACGAAAGUUAGGGGAUCGAAGACGAUCAGAUACCGUCGUAGUCUUAACCAUAAACUAUGCCGACUAGGGAUCGGAUGAUGUUAAUUUUUUAAUGACUCAUUCGGCGCCUUACGGGAAAC
rnacentral:rRNA from 1 species